rnacentral:rRNA from 1 species
GAGCUUGCUCCACCGGAAAAAGAGGAGUGGCGAACGGGUGAGUAACACGUGGGUAACCUGCCCAUCAGAAGGGGAUAACACUUGGAAACAGGUGCUAAUACCGUAUAACAAUCGAAACCGCAUGGUUUUGAUUUGAAAGGCGCUUUCGGGUGUCGCUGAUGGAUGGACCCGCGGUGCAUUAGCUAGUUGGUGAGGUAACGGCUCACCAAGGCCACGAUGCAUAGCCGACCUGAGAGGGUGAUCGGCCACAUUGGGACUGAGACACGGCCCAAACUCCUACGGGAGGCAGCAGUAGGGAAUCUUCGGCAAUGGACGAAAGUCUGACCGAGCAACGCCGCGUGAGUGAAGAAGGUUUUCGGAUCGUAAAACUCUGUUGUUAGAGAAGAACAAGGAUGAGAGUAACUGUUCAUCCCUUGACGGUAUCUAACCAGAAAGCCACGGCUAACUACGUGCCAGCAGCCGCGGUAAUACGUAGGUGGCAAGCGUUGUCCGGAUUUAUUGGGCGUAAAGCGAGCGCAGGCGGUUUCUUAAGUCUGAUGUGAAAGCCCCCGGCUCAACCGGGGAGGGUCAUUGGAAACUGGGAGACUUGAGUGCAGAAAAGGAGAGUGGAAUUCCAUGUGUAGCGGUGAAAUGC